rnacentral:rRNA from 1 species
GACGAACGCUGGCGGCGUGCUUAACACAUGCAAGUCGAACGGAAAGGCCCUGCUUUUGUGGGGUUCUCGAUUGGCGAACGGGGGAGUGACACGUGUGUAACCUGCCCUUGACUUUGGGAUAACUUCAGGAAACUGGGGCUAAUACCGGAUAGGAUCUCCUGCUGCAUGGUGGGGGUUGGAAAGUUUCGGCGGUUGGGGAUGGACUCGCGGCUUACCGGCUUGUUGGUGGGGUAGUUGCUUACCAAGGCUUUGACGGGUAGCCGGCCUGAGAGGGUGACCGGGGACCUUGGGCCUGCGAUACGGAGCAGACGCGUACGGGAGGCAGCAGGGGGGAAUAUUGCACAAUGGGCGGAAGCGUGAUGCAGCAACGCCGCGUGCGUGAUGACGGCCUUCGGGUUGUAAACCGCUUUCGCCUGUGACGAAGCGUGAGUGACGGUAAUGGGUAAAGAAGCACCGGCUAACUACGUG